AGAGUUUGAUCCUGGCUCAGGACGAACGCUGGCGGCGUGCUUAACACAUGCAAGUCGAACGAUGAACCAGGAGCUUGCUCUUGGGGAUUAGUGGCGAACGGGUGAGUAACACGUGAGUAACCUGCCCUUGACUCUGGGAUAACCUCCGGAAACGGAAGCUAAUACCGGAUACGAACUGCGAAGGCAUCUUCAGCGGUUGGAAAGAACUUCGGUCAGGGAUGAGCUCGCGGCCUAUCAGCUUGUUGGUGAGGUAAUGGCUCACCAAGGCGUCGACGGGUAGCCGGCCUGAGAGGGUGACCGGCCACACUGGGACCGAGACACGGCCCAGACUCCUACGGGAGGCAGCAGUGGGGAAUAUUGCACAAUGGGCGCAAGCCUGAUGCAGCAACGCCGCGUGAGGGACGACGGCCUUCGGGUUGUAAACCUCUUUUAGCAGGGAAGAAGCGAAAGUGACGGUACCUGCAGAAAAAGCGCCGGCUAACUACGUGCCAGCAGCCGCGGUAAUACGUAGGGCGCAAGCGUUAUCCGGAAUUAUUGGGCGUAAAGAGCUCGUAGGCGGUUUGUCGCGUCUGCUGUGAAAUCCCGAGGCUCAACCUCGGGUCUGCAGUGGGUACGGGCAGACUAGAGUGCGGUAGGGGAGAUUGGAAUUCCUGGUGUAGCGGUGGAAUGCGCAGAUAUCAGGAGGAACACCGAUGGCGAAGGCAGAUCUCUGGGCCGUAACUGACGCUGAGGAGCGAAAGGGUGGGGAGCAAACAGGCUUAGAUACCCUGGUAGUCCACCCCGUAAACGUUGGGAACUAGUUGUGGGGUCCAUUCCACGGAUUCCGUGACGCAGCUAACGCAUUAAGUUCCCCGCCUGGGGAGUACGGCCGCAAAGGCUAAAAACUCAAAGGAAAUUGACGG
rnacentral:rRNA from 1 species